UAUUUUUUAUUUUUUUUACCCUUUCAUAAAAACUCACUUUUCCAAAUUUCUAAUCAACUUUUCACUUUACUCUCCCCAACUUUAGAAUCCAAAACCAAAUUUAUUCAAUAGUGCUCCCUACUUAGACAUAAGCAAAAGGCAAAAUUUUUGCAAACAACUCGGUUUGAGGUUUCAACUGAUACGAAAGAAAUUAUGAUUCAUUUAUUCCACAAUUUUCA
rnacentral:lncRNA from 1 species